rnacentral:rRNA from 1 species
AACGAACGCUGGCGGCAGGCCUAACACAUGCAAGUCGAACGAGAAGUCAGAGCUUUGCUCUGAUGGACAGUGGCAGACGGGUGAGUAACGCGUGGGAAUUUACCCAGUGGUACGGGAUAACUCAGGGAAACUUGAGCUAAUACCGCAUAAGCCCUUCGGGGGAAAGAUUUAUCGCCAUUGGAUGAGCCCGCGUUAGAUUAGCUUGUUGGUGAGGUAAAAGCUCACCAAGGCAACGAUCUAUAGCUGGUCUGAGAGGAUGAUCAGCCACACUGGGACUGAGACACGGCCCAG